UGUGGAUAAGUCAGCAGGGAGAGCAGCUUCAGCAGCUGGAGGAGGCAGAUCUCACCAAGAUUUUGGAGCAUCAGUUGCAAAAUGCCUGGAAAAGCCCAAGAUUCCAAUGUUUUGUGCCAUUCAGACCUUUUUCAGAGCUCAUCAACUGCCAAAGGGUGUGAAAAACACUGAGGGAGAAGACGUACGACUACAAAUCAGUUCCUGCAGAUCCACUCCUUGACUGGCUGCUGAAAGGCUUCAUAAAUUCUACACAUCUGACCCCAGAGGAGAAAUCUGUUCAUGUGAACCUCAGCUGUGUGACAGAAGAAAACACUAAGGAUUUUGGAGUCGAGGUGGAGGGUGAUACUGAAGAGAAGAGAUUUUCACUUCACCUUUACACCAGUUGUGAUAACAACCUGCUGUGCACAUCAGAAUUUCUGUCAAAAUGAGGAACAACGCAAGCAACAACUGGUUGGAGAACACUGGUCACUUUGAUGGCAUCUUUCCUCAGACUGGACCACAAGUCUGGAUGCAGAGCCGUUCCAGUGGGAGCAGGACGAGGAUUACACUGAAGGAAUACAUGUUCAAUCACUUCCAUCUCUGAAAUGGUCAUCUCCAUUAACAAAAUAAUAAUAAAAAAAUCUGACAAACA